rnacentral:rRNA from 1 species
CCUACGGGCGGCAGCAGUGAGGAAUAUUGGUCAAUGGUCGGGAGACUGAACCAGCCAAGCCGCGUGAGGGAUGAAGGUACAGAGUAUCGUAAACCUCUUUUGUCAGGGAACAAAGGCGGGGACGUGUCCCCGGAUGAGUGUACCUGAAGAAAAAGCAUCGGCUAACUCCGUGCCAGCAGCCGCGGUAAUACGGAGGAUGCGAGCGUUAUCCGGAUUUAUGGGGUUUAAAGGGUGCGCAGGCGGUCUGUUAAGUCAGCGGUCAAAGCCCGGGGCUCACCCCGGGCCCGCCGUUGAAACUGGCAGUCUCGAGUUGGCGAGAAGUAUGCGGAAUGCGCGGUGUAGCGGUGAAAUGCAUAGAUAUCGCGCAGAACUCCGAUUGCGAAGGCAGCAUGCCGGCUCCACACUGACGCUGAGGCACGAAAGCGUGGGUAUCGAACAGGAUUAGAUACCCCAGUAGUC